rnacentral:rRNA from 1 species
UACGUAGGUGGCAAGCGUUGUCCGGAAUUAUUGGGCGUAAAGCGCGCGCAGGUGGCUAUGUAAGUCUGAUGUUAAAGCCCGAGGCUCAACCUCGGUUCGCAUUGGAAACUGUGUAGCUUGAGUGCAGGAGAGGAAAGUGGUAUUCCACGUGUAGCGGUGAAAUGCGUAGAGAUGUGGAGGAACACCAGCGGCGAAGGCGGGUAGCUGGGCCAACACUGACGCUGAUGCGCGAAAGCUAGGGGAGCAAACGGG